rnacentral:rRNA from 1 species
AUGUGUUUUUCUUUUUUUGAAAACUUUGCUUUGGUAGGCCUUCUAUAUGGGGCCUGCCAGAGAUUAAACUCAACCAAAUUUUAUUUAAUGUCAACCGAUUAUUUAAUAGUCAAAACUUUCAACAACGGAUCUCUUGGUUCUCGCAUCGAUGAAGAACGCAGCGAAAUGCGAUAAGUAAUAUGAAUUGCAGAUAUUCGUGAAUCAUCGAAUCUUUGAACGCACAUUGCGCCCUUUGGUAUUCCAAAGGGCAUGCCUGUUUGAGCGUCAUUUCUCCCUCAAACCCUCGGGUUUGGUGUUGAGCGAUACGCUGGGUUUGCUUGAAAGAAAGGCGGAGUAUAAACUAAUGGAUAGGUUUUUUCCACUCAUUGGUACAAACUCCAAAACUUCUUCCAAAUUCGACCUCAAAUCAGGUAGGACUACCCGCUGAACUUAAGCAU